rnacentral:sRNA from 1 species
AACUAGCCCUGAUAGAAGCGGAAAUCCUGGCAUUGCAUGCGAGAAAAUUCAACGGAUUUGAUCUUUUCUUGCAAUGACAGAUUGCAGCGGAUAGCAGGUUCCCGG